GAUGAACGCUGGCGGCGUGCCUAAUAUAUGCAAGUCGAGCGAACGGACGAGAAGCUUGCUUCUCUGAUGUUAGCGGCGGACGGGUGGGUAACACGUGGAUAACCUACCUAUAAGACUGGGAUAACUUCGGGAAACCGGAGCUAAUACCGGAUAAUAUUUUGAACCGCAUGGUUCAAAAGUGAAAGACGGUCUUGCUGUCACUUAUGGAUGGAUCCGCGCUGCAUUAGCUAGUUGGUAAGGUAACGGCUUACCAAGGCAACGAUGCAUAGCCGACCUGAGAGGGUGAUCGGCCACACUGGAACUGAGACACGGUCCAGACUCCUACGGGAGGCAGCAGUAGGGAAUCUUCCGCAAUGGGCGAAAGCCUGACGGAGCAACGCCGCGUGAGUGAUGAAGGUCUUCGGAUCGUAAAACUCUGUUAUUAGGGAAGAACAUAUGUGUAAGUAACUGUGCACAUCUUGACGGUACCUAAUCAGAAAGCCACGGCUAACUACGUG
rnacentral:rRNA from 1 species